GAUGAACGCUGGCGGCGUGCCUAAUACAUGCAAGUCGAGCGAACGGACGAGAAGCUUGCUUCUCUGAUGUUAGCGGCGGACGGGUGAGUAACACGUGGAUAACCUACCUAUAAGACUGGGAUAACUUCGGGAAACCGUAUCUAAUACCGGAUAAUAUGUUGAACCGCAUGGUUCAAAAGUGAAAGACGGUCUUGCUGUCACUUAUAGAUGGAUCCGCGCUGCAUUAGCUAGUUGGUAAGGUAACGGCUUACCAAGGCAACGAUGCAUAGCCGACCUGAGAGGGUGGACCGCCCACAUUGGACCGGGGACAGGGUCAGGACUCCUAGGGGAGGAAGAGGAGGGGAACUUUCGCCAAUGGCGGAAGGCCGGAUGAGGCAAUGCCGGUGGGGUGAGGAAGUCCUUGGAUUGGAAAACUCCGUUAAUUGGGAAGAAAAUAUGUGUAAGUAACAGUGCACAUUUUUGCCGUUCCUAACAAAAAAGGCACCGGUUAAUUCCGUC
rnacentral:rRNA from 1 species